ACCAUGGUACUUUACUUUGUUUGUAUUUCGCGCUCAAAGACUUGUACGUGAACCGGAUGUGUGACCGGAUAUAGGAAAAAGGACAUUCCAGAACGUGCGGUGUAAACACGUCAACAUGCAGAUGUAGCGGCACAACACCGCGGCUACUUACUCAUUUAUUGGACAUAAAUACGCAAACUACAGCUUGCGUUUAACCCAUUGGUGAGGAUAGACCAUAAUGUGGUGUGGAUGAUCCUGGAAGGAUCAUGGUCAGAACAGAGUGCCAGACUGAUGCCUUCAAGUACGGUCAAGCACCGCCCUCGUAACAGGAGUAGGAUGUGGAUUACUGGUUGUGUCAGUACAUUCAAUACAAUCAACACUCGCUGGUGGUGAAGUUCUUUUGUCGUCCACAGAUAGGGCUCAACGGCAGUUAACCUGGAACUGUAACUACAAAUACUGACGGGGUAUAGCUAACUUAGAGCAGAGAGAACAAGGCAAAAUAUGAGCAAAACAGCAACAACUAAUAUAGACACCUUCGACAAUGUGCAGGAGAUUAAGACCAGUUCCAGGAGGACAUGCGUCUUCUGCUUCAUCGAAGACACCCGUCAUUUGAAAAUUUGACGUUAUCAAAUUGAGGACCGGCUUGAUAACCAGAUGCCGAAAAGCAGUGGACCCUUGGAAC